GGUGUAGGUGGAUGGAGGCUGAGCUCACUGCUGCACCUGGUUGAUACCACCUUUUAGGAGAAUCAGAAUGCUGCCUGCUUCUGCCACACAGGGAAUGGAAUAUUAGCUCUUUCCUCAGACUCACCAUCGCUGCUGGCAGAAAAAUCAGAUUGUGCCUCUUACUUCCGUGGAGUGAGGGCGUGGGUGGAAGAUCAAUCCUUUUACCCCCUUAUGUUUCUGCUCAAAUUGCCAGGGCAAGGUGUGGUUUUUAAAUUGGUGUUUGAUUGGAGUAGGAGUUCCUGAACCGUGGACCUAAGACUCCACUGGGAGAGUCUUCCAUAAGACAGCAGCAUCUUUUACAUCUGGGUGAAACAGCUCCUACCACCUACACAUUCCUCGUACUCCAGGCCAGUGCUGACAUGAAGGAUGGCAGGAGCCCCUCUGUGAGGGGCUUGUGACCUUCAGGUUCCCAAGAAUGUCUUCACCCAGGUAUCCCUCACAUCACAGGGCCUGUGGCAGUGGCCUCCUACUCUGGACUUCCUCAGCCCAAGCCUCCCUGUGGCCAUGAUGCAGAAGAACUCCUACCAUGGCUUCCCAGGCUGGAGCUUCACCUGGUGAUCUUGCCAGGCCCUUGAGGUCCAGGCUCUGCGCCCAGUGUGGAGCUAACAUGGGGCUUGAACUCAGGACCCUGAGAUAAUGAUCAGAGCUGAGAUCAAGAGUUGGAUGCUUAACUGACUGCGCUUCCCCGGUGCCUCUGAGAAGCAGUAUUUUAAAGAGCUACCCAGGUAUGAUUCUUGUGCUUCCAAUGUCUGAGAACCAUCAGAAGGACCCCCAGUAGCCUCCAUCAGCUGAUACAUAGUCUGUUCUGCUUCUAGCUUCUUUGUUUCCAGUGGUGGAGGAUGAGGAGCUC